AUGGCACUAAGAAACUCUAAAAAGUAGAAAGGUUAGCUUGCAUGAAAAUAUUUUAGCAAUUUGAAUACAAGAUCCUGAAAGUUCUUUAGAACACUUGGUUAAAGAGAAAAGAAAAAGAGUGGAUCUGGUUUGCUUAUACCCACAGGGGCCAAUUGCAAUAUCUUUCGACAUAGAACAAAGUGAUUUCUCUCUGAAAGAUAGGCAAAGUGAAAAUCGAGUUAAAAACCACAGCUAAACUGUAACAAGAUACACUCAAGAAUGAAAAAAAAAGAAAGGUGUUGUCUGAGCCCGAUCCUGCAAAUCAUUUCUCCAGGCAGCCCUCGCAUGCAAGGGAUCCCAGGCAUAGCAAAAAGACUGCGGGUUUGACUGGCUGCAACUAAGUGGCAUACAGAACUGAAUGUAAAUUCUCACCAAACUGAUGAUUGAAGUGGACUUGUUUGGAUUAAAGCUUAAAGAGCAGAAUGUGUGUACCCAAACAGUUCUUUCUGGAGAACGAAGAGUUGACUGAAAGUAGGAAUGAAAAAGGGAAAUAUUCCACAUGGCCUGCUGAUCCUGCUCCUCAGUUCCUGCAAAGAAAUGCAUCUAUUCCUCCUCAACACCCCUCAAUUUGAUGGUACUGGCAUUCAGGAUCUGAAGCUCCGUAAAUAUAUGUGUGUGUGUAAAUAUAUACAUGCAUGUAUUUCUUUUUCUUAGUAUUUGUAGUCCUGGCAAAUCUAACAGCCAAAAAGGAUUUAUCAGCCAUAGAGCAAGCUGGAACUGAAAACCAUGGAGGUACUUCAGUGAUUCCAAGCUUAAAGGAAGCAUACUUUGAGACACAUUUUCCUGUACUCCAGACACUUUCUAAGAAACUUUCUAAGCUCAUUUUAUCUCUACUGACUUUUUAUAAAUCGUCACAUUUAUCAUUGCUCCUUUUUGCUCCUCUUUAUGUUUUUAUGUAAAUUUUAAACUAUAUUGCAAGUCAAUUGAUCUAAGUCCAUCUGCCUACAUAACUUUAUGAAAACCUAUGGCUAUUAGAGCCAUCAGAAAGUAACGAGAUCGAUGCAACUUUGGAAGGCUUCUGGUUCUCUAAGAGAAGAUUAUGAGUACUUCAAAAGCAGCACUUUGACGCUGGAAUCACAGGUCAAAUCUCAGCACAAUUCACUCAGUUCUUCAGCCUCCCAAAGUACCUAAUGGAAGUAAGCUUGGAACAUCAGGAUGAAAAUUUGAGAGAUGAGCACCUUCCAGCACUAAGUUAAAAUAUCUUCAAGAGUUCAGCCUACAGUAAGGUAUUGUGCUGAUGGUUCUGGACAAUAUUUCUCUUCCAAAUAACACAGCUCUUUCUCCCCACAGGAGAUUCUAUUUGAAAGUAGCCUGUGGAAACUAUAAAUAAAAUUAAUCAGUCAACCAUUUUGCCUACAAAUAAUUGUAUAUGCGGAAAUAUGCCUUCAAUUGUCAAGUACCCCUUCCAGGGGAAAAAAAUCAAAAAUUAGAGCCUUGCAUAUUUGGAUUGCUCAGACAGAUAAAAAAAAAAAAAUCAAUUUGCUUUUAGAAGGAAAAUAAGAGGCUUUAAAACUACUGUUUCUGACGAGCAGUACAUUCUGGUCUUAGGUUGGUAAAGAUUUUGAAUGAUUGUUUUAACCAUAGUAGGCAAACCAGUUUAUUCAAAAUGACAGGAUUAAGUAAGACAUAUUCUUUCACUGAUACAUGAAAGGGGAUGACAGAAUAUACCUUUCUAACCAGAAUCUUAGUUCGGACAAUGAAACAUCUACUUUUCCAAAAUUUAAUUCACAGGAUAAAGUCAGAGGUCAGAAAAAAUAAAAGCCAUUGAAUCCAAGUUACUAUCAUUGUUGACCUCUCAUAGUCACUUCAGAUAGACUGAGAUCUGAAUAGCUCUGAAAGAAGUUAUGUGUUCUUGUUUUUAAACGAUUCCACAGCUAUGAUUUCUUUAUUUGCAAAGUAUAAAGACAAGUAUGGAAUAAAUAAGUCAAGCCACUGUGAUUUUUUUUUUCUAAAAAUGAAUUGAAAUAACUAGAACAAUGAAAUAAAUUUUAAUGGAAUUAUCAUUUGCUAAUGAUUUUGCUACAUUGAACCUUGCAUUUAACCUCUAUCCACUAACUGGAGCAAAUUGGUGAGUUCUCUGUUUUCUUUUUUCCUACCUUUUGUUAAAAUUCCCUCUACCUGUAGCCUUUAAGUUCCAUCUAAACCACAAGAGAACAUAAAACACAUCAGCCAUCACCUCCGUAUUAUUUAAUAUUCAAAAUAGAAAUAGCUAUGCAGUCGUUACUUUGUACAUUGGACAUACCUUACAUGUAUUUCAGUGAUGGUGAGUCCUCAAAGGUAAAAAGAGAGAAGGGAAGGCAAGGCAAGGCAAAGGUAUUAAAAUCUCAAAAUAAUAUGUUAGGCUCAGGGCAGAUGGAUGGAAAAAAAAAAAAAGUGUGUCUCUUUCUGCAGGAGGUAGGAUGCUACAGAUUUACAGGACUAUUUGAAAUAUCUCAGUACAUUCCCUUUAUCUUUGAAACACCUUACAUGAAGGAAUGCUAUGCAAAAGGUUAUGGUCUGAUUCCUGUAUACUAGUUUAUGGUAUUCCCAUUACUCUGGAGAUUUUAUAGAAAUUUGAGAAAUCCAUGUUCAUGCAACAUGUAACAGGCAACUAACUUUCUCACUCUUCUGUUGGCAUAAUUUGUUUUUAGCACCUUAUCCAAAGAACUGUAAUGAAGGAAGCUAAUACAACUCAUUAUAUAUAGAAGCUUGGUAACUUCAGUCAUUAGCAUAUCUGAAGUUUGUUCUGUGUAUUAGCACCAUGAAUACUAGGCUGAUGUGUAGCAAAGAGCACCUGUCAAAACAAAAGAAGUGUUUCAUGCCUCACAAGUUUAAGCCCCAGGUAAGAAACCCAGUCUUGUAGGUAGGCUGAAAAAAUGUUGCAACCUGAAACCAAAGAGACUUGUAAGAGGUAAAAUGAGAUCCCUCUGGGUGCCAGUAGGCUUCUGUUUGCUGUGAUUAAACCCUCUUUGUUUCAUUAGGUACGUCAGUGCAAAAAACAAACAACCAGAUCAAGAUAAAGGCUUGCAACACAUCUUUCUCUUUCCUUCCUGUGACAAUUGCCACCGUUUUCCAUGGACAAGCUUUAAAGAAAUGGCUUUGCUUAGAUAAAAUUGACAAGACCUCUGUGCAGCUGUACAAGACAGCUUCUGGCUUUAAAAAAUGUGUGAAGCACUUAUGUCAAUGACCUGAUUAGAUGAUAAGUAUGCUUACUUCCUUUUCUCUCUAAUUACUUUUCUCUCUUGAAGAAGGUAUCUAGAAUUGCAUGAAGCCUAGACUAAGUCUGAAAGUUUAACAUCAGUGGAAAUUCACUGGAAAAAUCAAUCAUUUUUACAGUACAUGAGCCUCAACAGAAUUAGAGUUGUGUUGUAACUCUGGUUUGAGCCAAAUGCUUGCUUCAGCAAUUGUUUUAAAUGUUAUCAUUAAUACAGCAUAGAGUUUCCAUGUGUAAACAAAAAGAUAGUGGUAGCAUUCUGGCUACAUAAAACUGGCAGGAAUUGGGGUCAUAUAAACAUACCUUUUAAUUAUCUCUUUGAAUUAAGAACAUCAUUCAGAGAUACUUAUUACCAUCUACUGCAUUGGAAAGUACUUACAGUUUGUGCUUAGGGCAACUAUCUUUGUACUUCAUAAAAUUAAAGGAGUUUUCAGUGUUUCCUCCUCCCUACCCUAUGUUCUACAAUUGAUACAGAUAUGCUACCUCUAGUCAGCAAAAUAUAUGUACAGGACAAAAAUCAUUGCUGAAUUAUUGUAGAACUAAUUGCAGUAACAGUUUGUGUUAUUGAAGUUAAGCUGAUGCUCAGCUUAGGUAUCCUUGAUGAGAUGAGGUAAGG